rnacentral:ncRNA from 1 species
GAGAGCCGUAUGAUGGGAAACUAUCACGUACGGUUCGGAGAGCAGUUCUAAGAAGAAUUGAGAUAUAUUUGUUUACGGCUGACUCUAC